AACGCACGAGACCUGCGGACCUGCGGAAGGAUCAUUAAUGAGAAGCUGCCCCUCGUGGGUAGACCUCCCACCCUCUGUGAACUUACCUUUGUUGCUUUGGCAGGCCCGUCCUCUGGACCGCCGGCUUCGGCUGGCCCGUGCCUGCCAGAGGAUUCCAAACCCUGUCUGUCAGUGUUGUCCGAGUCUAUAUGAAAUCGUUAAAACUUUCAACAACGGAUCUCUAGAUCGGAAGAGCACACG
rnacentral:misc_RNA from 1 species